rnacentral:tRNA from 1 species
ACCGCGAUAGCACUGUUGGGAGAGCAUCUGCCCGGUGGGCAGAUUGUUGCCGGUUGGAUCCCGGCUUGCGGCG